rnacentral:rRNA from 1 species
UACGGGAGGCAGCAGUGGGGAAUAUUGCACAAUGGGCGCAAGCCUGAUGCAGCCAUGCCGCGUGUAUGAAGAAGGCCUUCGGGUUGUAAAGUACUUUCAGUCGUGAGGAAGGUGUUAAGGUUAAUAACCUUAGCAAUUGACGUUAGCGACAGAAGAAGCACCGGCUAACUCCGUGCCAGCAGCCGCGGUAAUACGGAGGGUGCGAGCGUUAAUCGGAAUUACGUGGGCGUAAAGGGCACGCAGGCGGUUAAUUAAGUUGGAUGUGAAACUCCCCGGGCUUAACCGUGGGAAUGGCAUUCAAGACUGGUUAGCUAGAGUCUUGUAGGAGGGGGUAGAAUUCCAUGUGUAGCGGUGAAAUGCGUAGAGAUGUGGAGGAAUACCGGUGGCGAAGGCGGCCCCUGGGACAAAGACUGACGCUCAUGUGCGAAAGCGUGGGGAGCAAACAGGGAUUAGAUACC